AGAGUUUGAUCAUGGCUCAGGACGAACGCUGGCGGCGUGCUUAACACAUGCAAGUCGAACGUGAUUUUUGUGGAAAUUCUUUCGGGAAUGGAAAUGAAAUGAAAGUGGCGAACGGGUGAGUAACACGUGAGCAACCUACCUUACACAGGGGGAUAGCCGUUGGAAACGACGAUUAAUACCGCAUGAGACCACAGAAUCGCAUGAUAUAGGGGUCAAAGAUUUAUCGGUGUAAGAAGGGCUCGCGUCUGAUUAGCUAGUUGGAAGGGUAAAGGCCUACCAAGGCGACGAUCAGUAGCCGGUCUGAGAGGAUGAACGGCCACAUUGGAACUGAGACACGGCCCAGACUCCUACGGGAGGCAGCAGUGGGGAAUCUUCCGCAAUGGACGAAAGUCUGACGGAGCAACGCCGCGUGAGUGAUGACGGCCUCCGGGUUGUAAAGCUCUGUUAAUCGGGACGAAAGGCCUUCUUGCGAAUAGUGAGAAGGAUUGACGGUACCGGAAUAGAAAGCCACGGCUAACUACGUGCCAGCAGCCGCGGU
rnacentral:rRNA from 1 species